rnacentral:rRNA from 1 species
UGGGGAAUCUUGCGCAAUGGGGGAAACCCUGACGCAGCGACGCCGCGUGCGGGAUGAAGGCCUUCGGGUUGUAAACCGCUUUCAGCAGGGACGAGGCCUUAUGGUGACGGUACCUGCAGAAGAAGCUCCGGCUAAAUACGUGCCAGCAGCCGCGGUAAUACGUAUGGAGCAAGCGUUAUCCGGAUUCAUUGGGCGUAAAGCGCUCGUAGGCGGUCUGUUAGGUCGGCAAGUUAAAUCCGGGGGCUCAACCCCCGUCCUCUUCCGAUACCGGCAGACUUGAGUUUGGUAGGGGAAGGUGGAAUUCCUAGUGUAGCGGUGGAAUGCGCAGAUAUUAGGAAGAACACCGGUGGCGAAGGCGGCCUUCUGGGCCAUAACUGACGCUGAGGAGCGAAAGCUAGGGGAGCGAACAGG